rnacentral:rRNA from 1 species
GACGAACGCUGGCGGCAUGCCUAAUACAUGCAAGUCGAGCGAUUUACUUCGGUAAAGAGCGGCGGACGGGUGAGUAACGCGUGGGUAACCUGCCCUGUACACACGGAUAACAUACCGAAAGGUAUGCUAAUACGAGAUAAUAUGCUUUUAUCGCAUGGUAGAAGCAUCAAAGCUUUUGCGGUACAGGAUGGACCCGCGUCUGAUUAGCUAGUUGGUAAGGUAACGGCUUACCAAGGCGACGAUCAGUAGCCGACCUGAGAGGGUGAUCGGCCACAUUGGAACUGAGACACGGUCCAAACUCCUACGGGAGGCAGCAGUGGGGAAUAUUGCACAAUGGGCGAAAGCCUGAUGCAGCAACGCCGCGUGAGCGAUGAAGGCCUUCGGGUCGUAAAGCUCUGUCCUCAAGGAAGAUAAUGACGGUACUUGAGGAGGAAGCCCCGGCUAACUACGUGCCAGCCGCCGCAGUAA